UACGAAGGGGGCUAGCGUUGCUCGGAAUCACUGGGCGUAAAGCGCACGUAGGCGGGUCUUUAAGUCAGGGGUGAAAUCCCGGAGCUCAAUUCCGGAACUGCCUUUGAUACUGGAGAUCUUGAGUCCGGGAGAGGUGAGUGGAACUCCGAGUGUAGAGGUGAAAUUCGUAGAUAUUCGGAAGAACACCAGUGGCGAAGGCGGCUCACUGGCCCGGUACUGACGCUGAGGUGCGAAAGCGUGGGGAGCAAACAGG
rnacentral:rRNA from 1 species